CUGGCCACCCACUCAGAGACCUGGAAGUCAGGGAGGAGGACAAACAAGGGAAAAUCAAUGCAAUGCAAAUGCUUCUGCCAGACUUUUGGGGUCAGAAGCCAGCCUCUGCUUGUCAGACUCACACUUUUCUAACUACAAGUGAUUGCCUAUUUCAGUGGUUCUGUAUUUUCAGUGGUCCACCACGUGCUCUGCUGUGGCAGGGCCGCAGUGCUGAUUUGGCACAUUCCCUGCACUCACAAGUGGUACAGUUGUGAACUCAGAGCUGCAGCUGAGGAUUUCUUCCAGCAUAGACAGCUGGAAAAGUUUUGUGUAGCCUCACGGGAACAGAACCAGGAUGAAAGGGAAGAGGAAUUCAAGCUGCAGCAAGGACUCUGAGAAAACUAGGCAGAGACUGAACAGAACAAGCUGAGACAGCAGGCCCAGACCGAGGAGAUCCCGGCUCUGUGUUCUUCACCAACACAUCAAGUCAAAUGGCUGUCCAAAUCAAAUGGCUAACAACACCCCACCCUCCUGCAAUGAUUACAUUUCAGGGAGGGAAUAAAAAUCUUUCUACUACUUUA